UACGUAGGGCGCAAGCGUUAUCCGGAAUUAUUGGGCGUAAAGGGCGUGUAGGCGGUGCGGUAAGUCUGCAGUGAAAUCUCUGGGCUCAACUCAGAGUCUGCUGUGGAAACUGCCGUGCUUGAGUGUGGGAGAGGUGAGUGGAAUUCCCGGUGUAGCGGUGAAAUGCGCAGAUAUCGGGAGGAACACCGGUGGCGAAGGCGGUUCUCUGGGCCUUACCUGACGCUGAGGAGCGAAAGCGUGGGGAGCGAACAGG
rnacentral:rRNA from 1 species